UGGCGGACGGGGGAGUAAUGUCUGGGAAACUGCCUGAUGGAGGGGGGUAACUACUGGAAACGGUAGCUAAUACCGCAUAACGUCGCAAGACCAAAGAGGGGGACCUUCGGGCCUCUUGCCAUCGGAUGUGCCCAGAUGGGAUUAGCUAGUAGGUGGGGUAAAGGCUCACCUAGGCGACGAUCCCUAGCUGGUCUGAGAGGAUGACCAGCCACACUGGAACUGAGACACGGUCCAG
rnacentral:rRNA from 1 species